rnacentral:rRNA from 1 species
AACUAACGCUGGCGGCGUGCCUAACACAUGCAAGUCGUACGAGAAAGCCGGCUUCGGCUGGUGAGUAAAGUGGCGCACGGGUGAGUAACGCGUGGAUAAUCUGCCCUUAAGUGUGGAAUAACGUACCGAAAGGUGCGCUAAUACCGCAUAAUGCCUGGCAACACAAGUUGUCCGGCCAAAGAAGGCCUCUGUUUACAAGCUUUCGCUUCAGGAUGAGUCCGCGUACCAUUAGCUUGUUGGUGGGGUAAUGGCCUACCAAGGCUGCGAUGGUUAGCUGGUCUGAGAGGAUGAUCAGCCACACUGGAACUGAGACACGGUCCAGACUCCUACGGGAGGCAGCAGUGAGGAAUAUUGCGCAAUGGGGGCAACCCUGACGCAGCAACGCCGCGUGGAGGAAGAAGGUCUUCGGAUUGUAAACUCCUGUCUUCUGGGAAGAUAAUGACGGUACCAGAGGAGGAAGCCACGGCUAACUACGUGCCAGCAGCCGAC